GCCACCUAUGGACUGAGCAAAGUAAAUGGCAGGCAAGAAACAGAAAACAAACAGAAACUCCUAGAUCCCGACACUAGAAGCUUCAUAUAUGCUAUGAGAUAGGAAUUGUGUUUUACGAAGGUCAAAGAGAAGGCAAUGGUCAGAGGCCAUUCUUCAAUAAAUCAACAAAAAGAAAGAGAAGUCUGCUUAUUGGAGCAUUGUUAUCUUGCUGUCUAGCUGGUGAAAAUAAGAGAACUCGGGGCGAGGACAGCAUAGUAUCCAUCGGGAGCGCCCUUCACCCUAGGCGCCUAUGUUGCCUAUGCGACAACACAGCCCUGGAGCAUUCACCAGCAAUGGGGAGCAAAUCCCUAUUUCAUUUUUUGGUGCUACACAGAGCAGAGCAACUGCAACCUCAAGCUCAGCUAUGAGCACAAUUAUUGUCUUCACACCACAAACCAGUAUUACCAGCAAUACAACGGGUGCCGCAGACAGGCAGCAGACAUUGCUGACACCAACGUCAGAGCUGAGGUUCUCUGGUGCCUGAACACCGCAGCAAAGCAUAACUCGUACUCUUCAGAUAACGGCAUCAGAGAGUUAUUCCAAAAGAUGUUCACAGACUUCGACAUAGCUAAACGUUUCGCAUGCGGCCACCCUCACCUCAUUUUAAGAAGUUGCUUGUGAAGAG